AGACGUCUACAUUAGAUACCCCGGUAGUCCCAGCCGUAAACUAUGCGCGUUAGGUGUAUCGGUGACCACGAGUUACCGAGGUGCCGAAGGGAAACCGUGAAACGUGCCGCCUGGGAAGUACGGUCGCAAGGCUGAAACUUAAAGGAAUUGGCGGGGAGCACCACAACAGGUGGAGCCUGCGGUUUAAUUGGACUCAACGCCGGGAAGCUCACCGGAUAGGACAGCAGAAUGAUUGCCGGGCUGAAGACUCUGCAUGACUAGCUG
rnacentral:rRNA from 1 species